rnacentral:rRNA from 1 species
UACGUAGGGGGCAAGCGUUGUCCGGAAUCAUUGGGCGUAAAGAGCGCGUAGGCGGCCCUGUAAGUCCGCUGUGAAAGUCAAGGGCUCAACCCUUGAAUGCCGGUGGAUACUGCAGGGCUAGAGUCCGGAAGAGGCGAGUGGAAUUCCUGGUGUAGCGGUGAAAUGCGCAGAUAUCAGGAGGAACACCGGUGGCGAAGGCGGGUCUCUGGGCAACUACUGACGCUGAGGAGCGAAAGCGUGGGGAGCGAACAGG